rnacentral:misc_RNA from 1 species
AUUUUUAAGUAUAAUUUUUAUUUUAUAAAAAUAGAUUAAUCAUAAAUAUUUAAAUGAAGAAAUUUGCUGAGAAAGAUAUUUUUAGAUUUCAGCAAUUUUCUCUGUAAACUUAUCAUGAACAAUCAUGUUACCUAAUGAUUCCAUGGUCCAUUGACAAAACAUAUUUGGCCGUUACCAGCAAGUAAUGUGCUUAGCUAUGUCCCACUGUUUCUGCCUACCAUUAUGUAUAAAAAUUUUGGCCCACACCACAAUGGGUUUUCGAUGUACUGGUGGAACCAUAAAACGCAUAAUUAUUUACCUUUUAUAUUCCACAUCGACAAUCCCAAGUCCUAGAAUGUCUUUGCCCAUUCCCUCGUUGGCCAUGGCCAUGAAAGCUCUGCUACUCAGAACAAAUUCUGUCUGGUUAUUGUGAUUGAGAUCAGUCAUGAUCACUGUAGUUCCUUUACUGCUACAAAGGGUAUUGUUUUUGCAUCUUAUCUGAAAACAGGCACCGCAACCAGCCCCAUCUUUGUAAAGAGUAGGAAUACCAGCUGCAAGGUGUCCACUGUUGAAACCUGGUGCCAAGGAACCGUAUCCACAAGCCCCAGAAUUAAGUGCAGAAGCUUUGGAGAAAUAUGCAGCCUUAGUUUGGUGCACACAGCGAUCACAAGCAGUUACAGAUGAGAUAAGAAAAAGAAGAAAGCUAAAGCAAAGAAAGAGAGACAUUAUGAAGCUGAUGAAAAUGUCAAAUGAGAAAAAUCAAUGUGGUAUAGAGAGAAUGGUGAAGAAGAAGCGGAUGAUUGAAACAAGAGCACUAAGAAGUAAAAGAAAUCAGGAAUAUUUAUAUACAGAUGGUAUUGGCUUAGAAUUUGGAGUACAGGUCAGCAUUCAAGCGUGUAAAUGUACAGAACAUUGAAGUAAAUAGGAAGGUGAUUAGUAAAGGCACAAGCAUUUUGUAAGAAUGAUAAAAAAAUGAUGCGUUCUAUGCACCGACUCUUUAUCUCUGCACUUACAACUGGCUGGCGACAACACGCUUUU